GACUUUAGGGUCUUAUCAUUUGGUAUCAGAGCGACGAUAAGACUUUAGGGUCUUAUCAUUUGGUAUCAGAGCCUACGAUAAGACUUUAGGGUCUUAUCAUUUGGUAUCAGAGCCUACGAUAAGACUUUAGGGUCUUAUCAUUUGGUAUCAGAGCAGCGAUCCUUGGUGUUCUCGCUGCAACAAAGCUAUCAAAAAAAAAAA
rnacentral:lncRNA from 1 species